GCGGGAGUAGCUCAGGGGUAGAGCGCUUCCUUGCCAAGGAAGAGGUCGGGGGUUCAAAUCCCCUCUCCCGCUCCA
rnacentral:tRNA from 1 species